rnacentral:misc_RNA from 1 species
GCAAACUUGGUCAUUUAGAGGAAGUAAAAGUCGUAACAAGGUUUCCGUAGGUGAACCUGCGGAAGGAUCAUUACAAGGUUUAACUGUCGUUCGCCUUUUUGGCGGGUCGGCAGACCCACGAUUCAUCCCGUGUGCACUCAUUGAAAAAGGCCUCGGCCGCAAGGCGAGGACUUUUUCUCAAACGCGCUUUAAUUUUGACUGAUGUUUUGAUAAAAUAAAGUGAAAUACAACUUUCAACAACGGAUCUCUUGGCUCUCGCAUCGAUGAAGAACGCAGC